rnacentral:RNase_P_RNA from 1 species
CAGGCCGACCAGGCGAUCGCUGAGUGGCAUGACCACCCAGAGGAAAGUCCGCACUCCAUAGAGCGCGAUGCCGGAUAACAUCCGGAGGGAAGCAAUUUCCUGGAUCGGGCCACAGAAACAAACCGCUCUUGCCCCCUCUCCCAGUGGGAGAGGGCCGGGGUGAGGGUAAGGGUGAAAAGGUGGUGUAAGAGACCACCGGCGCGGGUGGCAACAUUCGCGGCCAGGCAACCCCCAUCGGGAGCAAGGCCAAGCAGGCGCGAGGGGCUGCUCGCCCCGUCGAAGCGUCGGGUAGGCUGCACGAGGUGCAGGGAGACCUGCAUCCCAGACAGAUGAUCGUCCUCGACAGAAUGCGGCUUAUCGGUCGGCCUGGGAU